rnacentral:misc_RNA from 1 species
ACGAGUAAGGGUCUCUCCGGCCCGACCUCCCAACCCUUUGUUUACUAGACCUCUUGUUGCUUCGGCGGACCCGUCCCAAACGGACCGCCGGAGGACCGCCCACCGUGCCGCGUCCUCUGGCCAGCGUCCGCCGAUAGCCUCUUCAAACUCUGGAACAACCAUGAUUUUACUGUCUAAGUGAAUUUAUUCAAUUAAAAGCAA